rnacentral:lncRNA from 1 species
GGUUUGAGCCUGAUUCGCUAGAGUUAACCUAUUUGGACCAAUUGACCUAUUGGUAUCUAAGGCAAGUUAAUGAGACGUGAUUAUUUAAUUGAUUCCAUUCACUUAUCUGGCUAAUUUAUUGGUGUCUAAAAAAAGCAACGGGGGACCCCCAUUGAUCUCCACUUACCUGGCCAAUUUGAAAGAAUGCAUCUUAAAUUGGGUUGCUUAGUGGUUUGGUUUAACACAUGCCAAUUAGAUUGGUCAUAUGAUGACUAAUUAGAUGAGACCUAAACCUAAAUCUCUUCACAAAUAUUAAGUUCAUAGGUCUUUCACUGUUGUAGAUAUGCGGGCGUGCUACCAAUGUUGAUUAUUCUCGACUGAUCACAGUGGUUCAGUUGCAUCAAAAAUAUGCAACCACUCUAUUAGCAAAGAGUUGCUCCAAGAUAAGGAUGGGAUUAGGCCCAAUAACUGUUAGGUGAGGGACCUAAUGAUGGCCAUGCACCUACUUGUGAAUGGUGGGUUGGGCUUAAUUAAGAAGUGUGGGUAAUAACUAUUAGGUGAGCC